GACGAACGCUGGCGGCGUGCUUAACACAUGCAAGUCGUACGGUAAGGCCCUUUCGGGGGUACACGAGUGGCGAACGGGUGAGUAACACGUGAGUAACCUGCCCACAACUUUGGGAUAACGCUAGGAAACUGGUGCUAAUACUGGAUAUGUGCUCCUGCUGCAUGGUGGGGGUUGGAAAGCUCCGGCGGUUGUGGAUGGACUCGCGGCCUAUCAGCUUGUUGGUGGGGUAGUGGCCUACCAAGGCGGCGACGGGUAGCCGGCCUGAGAGGGUGACCGGCCACAUUGGGACUGAGAUACGGCCCAGACUCCGACGUGAGGCAGCAGUGGUAAAUAUUGCACAAUGGGCGCAAGCCUGAUGCAGCAACUCCGCGUGCGGGAUGACGGCCUUCGGGUUGUAAACCGCUUUCAGCAGGGACGAAGCUUUUUGUGACGGUACCUGCAGAAGAAGCACCGGCUAACUACGUG
rnacentral:rRNA from 1 species